rnacentral:misc_RNA from 1 species
AAAAAAAAAAUCCAUUUUGUCUUUUCUAUCUUUUUUUAAAUUAAUUUUACUUGCAAGUGAAACUGAGCAGUGAGUGAUAAUUGAUCUAUAUCAAAGAACAAAGGGGUUUAUGCAUGAAACUACAAUAAUUUGCCUUGUUUAGUUGUAGUAGGUGACCCUCAAGGGCAAUCUUUAAUUUGUAGGUCCAAAAAUCACUAUCAUCAAUU